rnacentral:rRNA from 1 species
UACGGAGGGUGCGAGCGUUGUCCGGAAUCAUUGGGCGUAAAGAGCGUGUAGGCGGUCCGGUAAGUCGGCUGUGAAAGUCCAGGGCUCAACCCUGGGAUGCCGGUCGAUACUGCCGGACUAGAGUUCGGAAGAGGCGAGUGGAAUUCCCGGUGUAGCGGUGAAAUGCGCAGAUAUCGGGGAGGAACACCUAUGGCGAAGGCAGCUCGCUGGGACGUUACUGGACGCUGAGACGCGAAAGCGUGGGGAGCGAACAGG